rnacentral:rRNA from 1 species
AUAGCGUAUAUUAAAGUUGUUGCGGUUAAAAAGCUCGUAGUUGGAUCUGUGUCUUACGAUGUCGGUUCACCGCUCGCGGUGUCAACUGGCAUGUCUUGUGGGACGUCCUGCCGGUGGUGGUCCGGUCCCUCGGGUAUGUGUAGGUUCGCUGAAGCAUCCCGUGGGUUCCGGCUGCCGAUUCAAUCCCGCCGCGGUGCUCUUGACUGAGUGUCGAGGUGGGCCGGCACGUUUACUUUGAACAAAUUAGAGUGCUUAAAGCAGGCUGAUUUCUGCCUGAAUACUGUGUGCAUGGAAUAAUGGAAUAGGACUUCGGUUCUAUUUUGUUGGUUUUAAGAAUCCGAAGUAAUGAUUAAUAGGGACAGGCGGGGGCAUUAGUAUUUAAUUGUCAGAGGUGAAAUUCUUGGAUUUAUGAAAGACUAACUUCUG